rnacentral:rRNA from 1 species
UACGUAGGGGGCAAGCGUUGUCCGGAAUCAUUGGGCGUAAAGAGCGUGUAGGCGGCCCGGUAAGUCCGCUGUGAAAGUCAAAGGCUCAACCUUUGAAAGCCGAUGGAUACUGCGGAGCUAGAGUACGGAAGAGGCGAGUGGAAUUCCUGGUGUAGCGGUGGAAUGCGCAGAUAUCAGGAGGAACACCAAUAGCGAAGGCAGCUCGCUGGGACGUUACUGACACUAAGGCGCGAAAGCGUGGGGAGCGAACAGG